UCCCAGUCUACCCAGCUCUCCUCCCAUUGCCCUCCCUCUUGCUUUCAGUGUCCUCCAUCUCUCUGGUGUCGCUCAUUUUCCUAUGUUAAGGACAUCUUAACUUCCAGAGCUCUGCCUUUUCAUCCAUCCAUUUAUUCUCAUAAUCUCAACCUAACUGUUUGAAAGCAGCUCAAAGCUGACCUUGUAAAGACUCUUACUGACCAGACCAUACCACACCUGUGUCCCUGAAUCCAUGGAAGCCAAAGCCAAGGCAGGGGCUCCAGCACCCAAGGCAGCAUCCAAAGCAGACAAGAAGGAGCCAGCAGCACCACGCAAGGCUGAUCAUGCCCCUGCGGCCCCUGAGCCCGAGGAUCCCCGCUUCUCCUCUGUUCAAGAUGGAGCAGCAGAAGCUGAGUCAGCAGCGGGUGACAAGGCCUCUGGUACAGACUGUGUGGAACAUAUCAAGCCUUUUCUUAUUGGCGGUGCCAUUAUCGCUGCAGGAGCCAUUUUGCUGGGAGUUCUGCUGCUGGCAAGGAGAAAUUAAAAUCAAAUUAAGAUAGGAAUAUUGUUGACUGGUUCACAGACAUUUCUGGUUUGAUGAGCAAUGGGGAGACACAGCAGUCUGUGUGUAUUUUUUUUUAUCUUUGUCUUAUUUAGGGUUUUUAUUUUGGCCUGCUUUCAUGUGUAGUGCAUCAGCCUAUGUAACGUUUGAUCAAGGCUUUAUAUGGAGCAUAACUAUACUUAUUAUAUGCAUGAAGUUGCUACGAUACUGCAUAUAAAAUGGAAUUAGAACAUUUUUUAAAAAGAAAAAAAACUACACUGCAUUACAUAGCCGCCAGAACUCUUUAAAUGUGGUUUAAUCUAAUACUUUUUCCAGUUUGUAUAAAUAUUGAUAGAGUUUUGAUAUUUAUGCAUUCUUGCAGUUCAUUUUGCUUAAAAGUCAUGAAAAAACAAUUAUUUUCUCUAUCAAUAAUGUCCCUGGACUGUCUGAGUUCUAUGAUUUCAAAGUAAAUGAGUUGGUGAAAGGAGAAUGUUCUGAAAGUAUUGGCCAAAUAAACUAAAUACAAGGUAUAUAGUGAAUCAUAAAGAUUGAGAUUAAUUUGAGUCUGUGCUCUAGUGAAAGCUUACCUUUGAUGUGACCCUGUGGGCUUGGAAACAGAAGCUGACAGUACAGAUUGUGAUCAGUUUUGGGCUGGAAACAAUCAAAGUGUGUUUAAUAUAUAAAGUAUGUGCCAAGAGAGGUAAAAAAAACAACAACAAUUUCUUGUUGAGGUAAAGACAUUAGUUUAUUUUUACCCAGAAUCAAACUUGUAUAUUUUGGUUGAUUCUCGGUUGUUAUAGAUGCCUUUCCUGAGCUGAGAUGUCUUCACUAAGCUCAGCAAAAAAUAUACUCUAAUGUUCAGAGAUCUAAAAUCACUUACCUUUUUUCUUUUUACAAUCAGAACAUGCAAUCAUGACAUGGGUAAUGAUACAGACUGCAAAGGACUGAAAAUGGAAUCAAAUAUAUUUUUGGUGUAGAUAUUUUUUUCUUGUCAAAUACUAACACAAAUUUAUAAUCUGUCACAUAUUUCCAAGCAAAAACACUUUUGAUAUUUGAAUUUGUUUGCAUCUAACAUUUGACACUGUGGUAUAUGUGGGUUACAUUAGACUGAAAGACUGCUGUCAAAACAUCAGUUGUUUAUGUCAUUCCUUCGCUCAUGUGGUGUUGUUGAAUGCACAAACCGUAUAGGUGACAUGAAAGCAUUUUACAUUUACAUGAGCAUAAAAGUUAUGUGGAUGUUUGCUCUCAUAAUUCACUCACAGGGAGAGAAAAAACACACUCAGUUGUUCCUGCACAAAUUCAUCUGUACAGCUGUUCACAGUAAUUUCUGCUUGCACUGCAUAACUCAAGUUGACUGACUAUAAAGUAGAAAGAUAAUUCUCACACACAUACACACACUGGUGGUCUUUAAUUUAAAUAAAUUAAACACAGUUUAGAGAAAAAGUUAUUCAUAAACAUUCACAACUUCCCUAUUAUGAUCAAAAAAGUACAAGCCAGUACAAAAAUGUCACCUUACAUUGUACUAUACAGUGUAUUUAAAAAAAAGUAGUAGAAGAAGAAAAUUCCUAUUUUCAUAAUUUCAAAAGCGUAUAAAUGCAAUAAUUCAAGUAGGAGUCCUCAUUUAGCAUAUGUGCUGUAGCAGAUUAAAAUACAUAGAUGAUGUAAUAAUGUAUGGUGUUACUGAUGGCUAUGAUAGUGAUGAUAUUUUUCAUGGUGACUGUAAUGAUGAUACUGAUGGAUACGAUAUAUAUAUAUAUAUAUAUAUAUAUAUAUAUAUAUUUUUUUUUAUAUACUUUAACAUAACUUCCUUAUGCACCCUCCCCUCUGCUCUCAACCAUUUAAUUGUAAAGAAAAGAAUUUGAAAAUCAACAUUAUUAAAGGCAGUGAACCAGG